rnacentral:rRNA from 1 species
UACGUAGGUGGCAAGCGUUGUCCGGAUUUACUGGGCGUAAAGAGCGCGCAGGCGGUCGGAUCAGUCGAAUGUGAAAGCCCCCGGCUCAACUGGGGAGGGUCAUUCGAUACUGUCCGACUCGAAGGCAGGAGAGGGAAGCGGAAUUCCCGGUGUAGUGGUGAAAUGCGUAGAUAUCGGGAGGAACACCAGUGGCGAAGGCGCUUUCUGGCCUGUUCUUGACGCUGAGGCGCGAAAGCUAGGGGAGCGAACGGGG